ACACUGUAGCUUCUGCAUCAUCAGAGCCAAGAACAGGCCUACCUCAAGUUUCAAGUGAUCCCUCUUCUCUUUCAUUUUUCUGAAAGAAUAUCUACACACAUGGAAAAGAUGGAUUUAUAAAAAAGCAAAGGAGUCAUGAGGGACCACAUAUUGACCAUACAGAGGUUAUUUUCUUGUGGAAAUCCUUGAACGUUGUGUGGAAAUGAGUCGAUGAACACAGUGUUACUGUAAGGUGAUCAUCCUCUAGACCUGAAGUGGGCAGUGCUGAGGAAGAUAACCAGAGCUGAAAGACCCUGCAGUGAUCCACUGAAAAAACUCAGCCAGCAGGUCCUGCUGGUACCUGUUCCAUGUGAGAAGUUUGACAAUGAAGAUAYGUAAAGCACAGGAUGUGCUACUCUAAAGUCACCGAGGUCAAAAGGACAACAAGAUUCAAAGAAGGACUGUGAUUUAUACAGAAGAUGUGAACACAACACUUGCACUUGGAGUUAUUUAUUCCAAAAAGAAGUCUGAAAAGCUGUUGGACCCUCUUCCCCCCCUACUUUAGAGUGUAAGUCCAUCUCUGAUUCAUAAAGGCUAGGAAGAAACC
rnacentral:lncRNA from 1 species